CUCAAGUUGUCAUACCACUGUUAGAAUUGCUUCCUGACUUGGUCUUGAAGCUAGAGGAAGAAUUGCAUACUGUAACAUCUUCAUCGUCCAAAUAAUUACACAUCCCGGCAGAUCAAAUUGGUGGUGCAAUACAAAGACAGUUCGCGGACGCCUUGAAAGUUCAUGUUCAACAGCCAGCGAAUGACGGUUG